rnacentral:rRNA from 1 species
UACAGAGGUCUCAAGCGUUGUUCGGAUUCAUUGGGCGUAAAGGGCGCGCAGGCGGUCUGGCAAGUUUGGAGUGACAGUGCUCGGCUUAACUGAGCAAGGCCUUCGAAAACUGCUAGACUUGAGCACUCAAGAGGGACAUAGAAUUCCGGGUGGAGUGGUGAAAUGCGUAGAUAUCCGGAGGAAUACCAAAGGCGAAGGCAGUGUCCUGGGGAGUGUCUGACGCUCAGGCGCGAAAGCUAGGGGAGCGAACAGG